rnacentral:tRNA from 1 species
UGGGGUGUCGCCAAGUGGUAAGGCAGCGGGUUUUGGUCUCGCCAUCCUAGGUUCGAAUCCUAGCACCCCAG